UGGGGAAUAUUGCACAAUGGGGGAAACCCUGAUGCAGCAACGCCGCGUGAAGGAAGAAGUAUCUCGGUAUGUAAACUUCUAUCAGCAGGGAAGAAAAUGACGGUACCUGACUAAGAAGCUCCGGCUAAAUACGUGCCAGCAGCCGCGGUAAUACGUAUGGAGCAAGCGUUAUCCGGAUUUACUGGGUGUAAAGGGAGCGUAGGCGGUUAUGCAAGUCAGAUGUGAAAGCCCGGGGCUUAACCCCGGGACUGCAUUUGAAACUGUGUAACUAGAGUGUCGGAGAGGUAAGUGGAAUUCCUAGUGUAGCGGUGAAAUGCGUAGAUAUUAGGAGGAACACCAGUGGCGAAGGCGGCUUACUGGACGAUAACUGACGCUGAGGCUCGAAAGCGUGGGGAGCAAACAGGAUUAGAUACCC
rnacentral:rRNA from 1 species